AGGGUGCCCUUCGUCUCCGCCAGCCCGGGGAAAUGGCUUCCUGUUGUCCACAGUGUGGGCUGCCUGAUGGCGGGGACACUGAGAAUCUUCCGGAGUAGUCCGAGGAAAUAUUCUUGCAAUGGACUGAAUAUGUCUCCCCAAAAUUCCUAUGUGGAAUCUGCACCUAACGCUGUUUGGAACCGGAGCCUUUGGGAGUGAAGACACAGCAAGAAGACAGCCCUCUACAAACCAGAAAGAGGGCCCUCACAGGAGCCUGAGCAUGCUGGCACCUCACUUCCGGCCUCCACUCUCUGAGAAAUAACUGUUGUCUACGCCAUCCGGUCUGCGGUCCUGUCAUAGCAGCCCAAACUAAGACAAUGCUUC